CACCGGUUUAUCUUUUUAGGAUUAAAUGAAAUAUUCUUCAGAAAUAAAAUUCAGAAAAUAAGCUUAUACAUUAGUGUGAAUUAAAUAAUGUUAUAAAUUAAAAAAAAAAAAAAAAAAACAGCGUGGCUCAGACCCCUUGACGCCAGGGGGAGCUGUGAUUUGGGCUUUACUGCUAAAGUAUACUCUCAGAGUCUUGAGCCAAAGCAAAGGCUAGAAGGAAAUAGCAUGAAGGCUGACUUUGCAGGCGCACACCAUGGCAGAGGCACCAGGGCUCUGCUGCCAGCAACUUCCUGAGUUAAGGCCAAGGCACCAUGACUCUGGGGUCUUCAAUAGCAAAAGUAUAAGAAAAGGCCAUGGGACAUUCUCAGCACUGUGCUCUUGCCCCACCACCUUCUCCUGUUGGUGCAAUACAGCCUGAGGAUUGCCAUCAAGAAGAAGCAGUCUCCCCAUUAGCCAAUGGUGAACUUCCCUGGUAAUGCAACCUAUAACUGUAGUCAUUUUCUGGCUUCUUGCUUCUAAGCAAUGUCAUGGACUUAUAAUCAAUGCCAAAUAUCUUGGUGUAUAUAGAUGAUAAGUCAUUUCUUUUGCUCCAUGAUUAAUCUUCAGGUUUGAUUUUAUAAUCCCUCACAUCUUUUCUCCAUUCCAGUAUCUUCCCCCAUCAUUUGUAUAAGCAUCCCUCCUUCUAGAACUCUAGAUGGGUGCAUUCCCAUCAUCUUAUUUUUCCACAUCCACCUGUUCCUGAGUCAUACCCACGUGGUUUGUGUUGUGACCUCUUUUCAUAGAGUUAGUCCUUCCAGCCCCUUAAGUGUUGUAAAAUUAUUAUGAUUUUUUAGAAUGAGGCUGUUAGCAACUUGUCUUGAGUCGCUUCGUUUAUCAACUGUCUUCUCAAGUACUUAGUCUAAAUGUCUCUUCAAAGUCUGGACACUCCUAAUCCUCACUUAUCUCUAUUGACUUAAAACUCAAAGUAGGAGUAUAACAAUUAAUCACGUUAUACUGAGAUCAGCAUGCAUUUUCAGAAACAUAAAUCUUACAUGUCACAACAAAUAGAACAUGAAGUGAUUGCAAAUCGCCAUGGGAACCACUCAUGCCAGCUGGCUUUUUAAAACUAUAGGGUGUGUAGGUGUGUGAGAAGGGUGUGCCAAUGGGACCUGCCUCGGGGAGAAGAGUGAUGGUGAAACUCGUCUCACCACAGCUAUUCAUUUGUAAACCAAGAGAUUAGAAAAGGGUUGCAAUGCCUACUUUCCCAAAGCUACUGGGGGCUGGAGAGAUGCCUUAGUGGCUCAAGUAUUGGCUGCUCUUCCAAAGGACCGUGGUUCAGUUCCCCACACCCACAUUCCCAGGGAAUCCAUCAGCCUCUCUUAAUUGGCAUUUCAGAGACCUAAACACCAGGGACCUUGUCAUCUUAUCCAAAUAUUACUCCAUUCUGAGCUUCAACUUCCCUAUAUAAACAAAGACUGCUGUUGGAUUAGCCAAAGAUGAAGCCUCUCCCAGCACUGGCCUCCCUGGACAUUCCUGGGAGUGUUUCUGUGUUCCCUAAGUCAAUACGGGCUGCCAACUGACCAAGGAUCAUUGGUCUAUGGUCUAUGCCACCCUACUCCAGGCAUGCUUUUUGGAGGAACAGGGAGGCUUCUUCGGAAAUAGGGCCAUUAUAGACACCUCUGGUCCCUCUCAGCUCUAAGGUUCUAUCCCUCUGCCAGAGCUUCUAUUUUAAGGAUAUAUUUUUCUUUUCAAUGUGUGUAUGUGUGUGUGUGUGUGUGUGUGUGUGUGUGUGUGUGUGUGUGUGUGUGUGUGUGUGUCCAUGUGAGAUUUGUGUGCACAUGAAAGUGAAGCACCUAGAGUUCAGAAGAGAGUGUCAGGUCUCCUAGAAUUGGAGUUGCAGGCAAUCGUGGGUCACCCAGUGUGGGUGUCUGGAACCAAGCCUUGAUCCUCUGCAAAAAGUGGUUCACAGACUUAACUACUGAGCCAUCUCUCUUAGCCCCUGACAGAACUUCUUAUGUGAGGUCCAUAGUUCCUCCCAGAUCCCUAAAUCUCAGGAACUAAUGCCCAAGUGCUAUGUGAGUUUUUCCAACGAGUCCAUUGGAAUUACAAAGUGAUUAUGCACCCAAUAGGCUAAGGCCCAUUGGUUCCAGUUUAGUCCAUGCUUCUCUUGGCCUCCCAUCUCCUCUCUGAUGGAUGAUUCUCUGGUCUUCCUCUAACUUUCAACAGUGUUUUGCUCAGAGUUGUAACUUACCCAUUAGCCUGCAUCACCCUGUACUAGACUAAGAUGCCCUUAAAAUUAGGAGCUUUAUCGGGUUUUGCUCCCUCAGUAUUCUCAAUAACUUAGUACACACCAGUGUGCAGUAGCUAUGCAAUGACUGAGAAUGUAAGGGUUUUUUUUCUUAGCUAUAAGAGACAGGACUGAUACCCAAUAUUCAAAAACCAUUAACGGUGGGAAAUAUGUGGGAUGAAUAAAUGGGUGAUGGAAUGAAUGCA
rnacentral:lncRNA from 1 species